UGGGGAAUAUUGACAAUGGGCGAAAGCCUGAUCCAGCCAUGCCGCGUGUGUGAAGAAGGUCUUCGGAUUGUAAAGCACUUUAAGUUGGGAGGAAGGGUUGUAGAUUAAUACUCUGCAAUUUUGACGUUACCGACAGAAUAAGCACCGGCUAACUCUGUGCCAGCAGCCGCGGUAAUACAGAGGGUGCAAGCGUUAAUCGGAAUUACUGGGCGUAAAGCGCGCGUAGGUGGUUCGUUAAGUUGGAUGUGAAAUCCCCGGGCUCAACCUGGGAACUGCAUUCAAAACUGUCGAGCUAGAGUAUGGUAGAGGGUGGUGGAAUUUCCUGUGUAGCGGUGAAAUGCGUAGAUAUAGGAAGGAACACCAGUGGCGAAGGCGACCACCUGGACUGAUACUGACACUGAGGUGCGAAAGCGUGGGGAGCAAACA
rnacentral:rRNA from 1 species